CUUCCUUAGGGGGUAAAAGCAACAUUCGGCACCGGGGGCAGGUCAAGGCGAGGCGGUCACGUGGCAGGCGCCCGGGCCAAUGGGGGGCCCCGGGAGGACUCGGCACCCGCCUCGCCCCAACACAGGGCUGGCCUCUUCAGCUCAUAUAAGGUAAAAGGCAGCAGGGCCUCUGCGACCAGGGAGCGGCGGGCAAGGGGCUGAGGGGAGGGGGACCUGGUGCCAGCCGUUUAAAAGUGCCCCUGUGGCAGUGAAGGGUGCCAGAGGCCCGGUCAAGUUAGUUGAGAAGAAGUGACACCCCCAACCAUUCCCCAAAUGGUCUGGCCCCCGUAUCCCGGCUGCAAGGAGCCAUAUCUGGACCAGACCCCCAGAGAGGCUAGGGCACUGGCUGGUGGGAGCCACCCCUACAUCUCUGACAUUGGUGGAGCCAGGACCCCAGAGAGGUGCCUCCUGAGGACCAGAGGGCAGGCAGCAGGGGCCCUGGAAACAGAACGCCUCCCCGAGCUUCUCGACAGAAGACAGAGGUUCCCCCACUCAGUGACAUUUCCUGAAGACAGUGGGGAGCAGGGAGGGGAAAUCGGCCCGUCCUCCGGGAGCCACCCCCAGACAGCCAACAACCAGGGCGAUGGUGAGCCCACCGGGAGUGCGGGAUCCAGUCCAAUAGGUACCACCAGCCCAAGAUAAUUGCACUUGAAAGGAGGCCACGCUGUGGAUGCCUUUUAUUGACACCCCCUAUGGGAUAUAACUGAAGAUAGAAGUUUCGAAACUGCAUUCUAACAGUGCUCAGACAAGAGUUGUCAAUGUACAGCACUGUAGAAUCUCUCCAAGAACAUCCUUUGCAACUACUUAAAAUUAUUUGACAAAAAAAAAUUAGAUGUCAACUUAAAAGUGUGCAUAGGGAUCCAUCAUUUUUCAAAUGUCUUUUAGGGACAUUUGAGCAAGAGUGCGAAGACAAAAAUCUAAACCAGCAGUGGCAAGCAACACAAUAACCAUCCACAUUUCACUUUUCUCAAGAAACACUUAGCUAAUUUCCAGCCGCUUAUCUUGGGAGAAGUGAGAAGAACCAUUUUCUCUCCCCCUUAUCUGAUCUAAAUCCCAAUUCUCACGAGAACUGUGAUAUAGUGUGAAAAGGGAACAGGCUUAAGAAUGAAGAAACCACUGUGCCACCAACUUGCUUUGUGGCCUCAGAGUGGUCAAUUCCCCCUUUCUGGGCCUCAGUUUCCUCAACUGCAAAGAGUACUGGAUCCUAUUUUUA
rnacentral:lncRNA from 1 species